UGGUACUGUGUUAUUGCCCGGCACUUCCUAUCAAGCAUGGAGAAGUAUUUUAAGAAGGCUGCCUGCAUUCUCUGUGGCCACCUGAAGCUGCUGCCCAUGUUUCUCAGGGGGAGGCCAGGGAUGAUCAGCCCUGAUUUGUACAGCCUAAAGGUUACCAUCCUCAUAACUCUGAACCACAUUGUUUGGGUUUCAUUGGUACAGAUAUCUCCAAAUGGGUCACUCUUCCAUUACGCAGAGUCAAUGGCUAGUUACUUUGGGCCUCCAUUUUUAGCUAUUUUUCUGCGUGUCAUCUACUGGAAAAGAGUCAAUGAGCAGGAGCCUCUGGGGAAUCACUGGAUUGUUUUCAGUCCCAUUCAGAUGAUCAGGGAAUUCCUUGGUGGC
rnacentral:lncRNA from 1 species